rnacentral:rRNA from 1 species
UACGGAGGGUGCAAGCGUUAUCCGGAUUCACUGGGUUAAAGGGUGCGUAGGAGGGCAGGUAAGUCAGUGGUGAAAUCCCCGAGCUUAACUUGGGAACUGCCGUUGAUACUAUCUGUCUUGAAUACCGUGGAGGUGAGCGGAAUAUGUCAUGUAGCGGUGAAAUGCUUAGAUAUGACAUAGAACACCAAUUGCGAAGGCAGCUCGCUACACGAAUAUUGACUCUGAGGCACGAAAGCGUGGGAUCAAACAGG